UCUCAUGUCUACUAGAAUAUCAAAUGUCACACUCACAUCAUAAUUAAAUGAGUAAAUCAUUGUACUAGCUUUGAUAGAGUUUGGAUGGAUUAAGAUGCUUGAUUACAAUUCCAACGAAUCAUACGGGUUGUAUACAAUGACUAAACCUCCCUCCACACUUUCCUUUGAUUCCUUUGAUGCUUUAUUUCUUUUAUAGCAUCAAAUUAUUUGGCUCUUCAACUGUUGGAUUACAAAUAGAUACCACACUUUUCUGUUGCGUGCCUUUUGCAAUUUGUGAACAUAUAUAUGGCUGUAAAGUUUUAGAAUACCAUAAAAGUCAUGCUUCAUGCAGAGAAUAUGCAUUCACCAGCAGCACACGGUUGAAAAAUAGCAUCAAUUAAAAGGGCAUGAAGAAAUAUAUAUGUCCUGGCAAUCCAUAUAGCUUAUCUCAUCACAAUUCACAUCAUCUACCUUUUGCCAUCAACAAGAAACGAGCCAUGCUCUUGCUAUUUCCCUCUUAGGAAAUACACAUCAUGAUUGAAUGGUAGAAGCCCAUCUUCGUAUAUAGCUUAUAGGGUAAGAUGAUGAGAAAAGGCCAUCAUAUACAAAAAGCUAAACGGUACUACUAGCUAUGCUCUUGUAAUCAUGUUGCUUGCUUUUUCAUACUUAAUGUAUUGUGUCAUGUCAUGGGGCAAUCAUAACACAAAGUUAAUUUUCAUCUCUUCUAAUUAAUCAACUUACGUGAUCUUGUCUCCCUUUCCCCAUAAAGUCUCUAUAGAGUUGGAAAAGAAGAGAUUGAUCACAACAUGCAAGCUAAGCAUUGUAACAAUUAAGGCAAAACCCUAACCCUAAAAAUAUUGGUUAAUUUUUCCACCAUGAACAAGAACAAUCCUACCCAUCAAAACAAUGCAAACCGUUAAUGGUGAUGCCAUGAUAAAAAAGGAGAAUAGAUAAACUAAUUUAAAAAGAAAAAAAAAAAAAAAAA